rnacentral:rRNA from 1 species
AACCAACGCUGGCGGCGUGCCUAAUACAUGCAAGUCGAACGGGGAAAGCUUUCGGGUGAGUACUAGUGGCGCACGGGUGAGGAACGCGUGGAUAAUCUGCCUUAGAGUGGGGGAUAACUAGUCGAAAGAUUAGCUAAUACCGCAUAAGACCACGAGAGCUGCGGCUUUUGAGGUCAAAGGUUUUUCGCUCUAAGAUGAGUCCGCGUAAGAUUAGCUAGUUGGUGAGGUAACGGCUCACCAAGGCGACGAUCUUUAACUGGUCUGAGGGGAUGAUCAGUCACACUGGAACUGAGACACGGUCCAGACUCCUACGGGAGGCAGCAGUAGGGAAUAUUGCACAAUGGAGGAAACUCUGAUGCAGCGACGCCGCGUGAGUGAUGAAGGCCUUCGGGUCGUAAAGCUCUGUCGCAGGGGAAUAACACAAUGAAGGUACCCUGUAAGAAAGGAUCGGCUAACUUCGUG